GGUCGAAACUAGCUCCAGCAUGAUUAAUGCGUACAUUUUGCAUUCUGUGUUUUUUGCAUUAAUCUCUAAUUCUCUAAGUGACUAUCCAUGUGCUAGCUCAAAUUAUGUUGGCCUUGAAAAGACUGCACAACUGCUUAACUUCCCAUUUUUUGCAUUCGUCAAUAUGUUGCUGCAAAUGUAUUUUAUGGUACAAGUGAGGAGAAUUCAUACGUAAUGGCUACCACAAGCAUGGCCGUCCAUCCGUUGAAUGAAUGCCCCCUUUUAACUAAACUCUUUGAUUUCUUCCAAAAAUAGUUUUCUGGAAAGGAUUAUUCCAUUAUUAAUGGUUGUCAAGUUGUAAAUCAACCUGCAAACUUUCUCCACCGAUCGCAGCCAAAGUAACCCAUGUCUUGAAAGAACUCAAUGAUCUACAUGGUUCAUUGCGUCUUCUACAGGCUGUAUGGGGUCACCCUUCGAGAACAUCCCCCACUGCCACGUCCCAAACGACGUCCUCCACCUUACACAUCCUACGCCACGAUUACACUGCCAGCAUGAAACUGCCAUUCCAUCGUUCAAAACUGAUAUGGUUAUCAUCCCUAUUGCAUACACGUCGGAUGACAUCUAGGUUUAUCGCAUUAGGGGUUAUCUCCAAGGGAAGAUCAUUUAUCCUCUAGAAACCAACUGUGCAUGAUAAAGUGAGGUUGGAAGAAAAGCUCUCAUCUUUCGAGAAUAAUCGCCCGUUAAAAAACCGAAAACCAUCCCCCAUCCCUCAGAUUAUACCCUUUGCUUCAUUGGCAUCCUUUCACGGGACGCACAUUAUGUCAGAAUGGUAGUUCUAUGGAUUCAGCCUUACACUGUGAUGACCGCACACAUUCACUGUGUACUAUUCAAUUUGAAAGUGGAGUCACUCAGAUACUGCUGGCCAACUUGUAAUAACUCGUGAAAGCAAGUAUUCUUUCAACCAGACUUCAAUGCGAUUUUCAGAGCCGAGUAGAUGAAUGUCGUUUGUCGUAUUGUUUAAUUAGGCUAAGUUACAUAACCAGUAUUAUAUUUUCUUGUUGAAACGAUCAGUAGGGUGCAGUAUGCUAAAGUGGGUUCUUGGCCCGAUAAGAUGCCAAGCAAAUUCUACUUCGAUUUCGUUUUACGUUAUGGCUGCAGGAUGGGUACACUAGGGUACCCACGUUUCCACGGUGCUUAUAUCAAUUGCCCUAGAUCGACUAUUUGAAAUUCGUCGUAACUCCCGUUCGGAGACUGUCGAAUAGAACUGUCGGUUGGGUUAGAAAAUGCUCUUGUGCAUGCCAAACACAGAAUAUGUCUAAUACUCUUGACUGUUUACUUCAACGUCGAACCCAACUGUGCUUAAGGAUGAAAAGCAAGGUGCCUUUCUAGAUUCUAUGUAGCCAAUCACGCCCAGUUGGCAUGUUGCUAGGUUGCUACGCGAUGGGAUUCGUUUGAAAUCCAAAAUCAUUAGAUAAAACAUCACGCUCAGUUGCCAACUGUUGACUUCCUCCUUAAUGGCGACGCAUACUUCUUGCUACGGCUGAGUUGUCUCCAAUCUAGAUGGGCUAUUUCCCGCGGAUUUGUCAAGAGAUAAGAUCAUAUGGAUGCAUCGUUCUGAUAAUCGAAUUCUCCACUGCCUUCCGAUGGAACUGCCUAUUACUGAAGAAAAGGACGGACGUGACUCUUUGUGCACGAGUCCAACGGACACGUUUCUCACAACCAUCUAUUUCAAACAUUUGGGAAUGUUGGAGAACCUACGCUACAGAAAAAGAUACGCGGGUUAUGAAGCGGAUCAUGGCUCGAUUAUUAGCUGCCUCCCCCACCUUGUUGGAAGCGGAAGAUUAACCAACAUCCUACGGGCUUACACGAUGUAGUAAACGGUACUACAGAUCGAGAAGAAAGCGUCUGUAUACGUGUCGUAUUGUUGUGUAGGUGUCAUACGUGUAGUGUUGUUUUUUGUAGUGUGAUAGUGCCUGCGUGUUAUUUUAGCUAGCUGUGCCUUUUAUUGUAAGGCAUGGCGACUGAAGCAUAUCCAACGUAGUCCUUGGUGUUGUUGGGUUUUUUUUUCUGCACAGAUGGGUUGACGUUGUUGAGAGUAGAACGAUGGUGAGGUUGUCCGAUGCGAUGUGAGUUUUCCCUAGCGAAGA